UACGUAGGGUGCAAGCGUUAAUCGGAAUUACUGGGCGUAAAGCGUGCGCAGGCGGUUGUGCAAGACAGAUGUGAAAUCCCCGGGCUCAACCUGGGAACUGCAUUUGUGACUGCACGGCUGGAGUGCGGCAGAGGGGGAUGGAAUUCCGCGUGUAGCAGUGAAAUGCGUAGAUAUGCGGAGGAACACCGAUGGCGAAGGCAGCCUCCUGGGCCAAUACUGACGCUCAUGCACGAAAGCGUGGGGAGCAAACAGG
rnacentral:rRNA from 1 species